rnacentral:rRNA from 1 species
CCUGGCUCAGGAUGAACGCUAGCGGCAGGCUUAACACAUGCAAGUCGAGGGGCAGCGGGGAGGAAGCUUGCUUUCUCCGCCGGCGACCGGCGCACGGGUGAGUAACACGUAUGCAACCUGCCCCUGUCAGGGGGACAACCCGCCGAAAGGCGGGCUAAACCCGCGUACAUGCCACCGGGGCAUCCCGGAGGCAGGAAAGGCUUCGGCCGGACAGGGAUGGGCAUGCGGCGCAUUAGGCAGUAGGCGGGGUAACGGCCCACCUAACCGACGAUGCGUAGGGGUUCUGAGAGGAAGGUCCCCCACACUGGUACUGAGACACGGACCAGACUCCUACGGGAGGCAGCAGUGAGGAAUAUUGGUCAAUGGUCGGGAGACUGAACCAGCCAAGCCGCGUGAGGGAUGAAGGUACAGAGUAUCGUAAACCUCUUUUGUCAGGGAACAAAGGCGGGGACGUGUCCCCGGAUGAGUGUACCUGAAGAAAAAGCAUCGGCUAACUCCGUGCCAGCAGCCGCGGUAAUACGGAGGAUGCGAGCGUUAUCCGGAUUUAUUGGGUUUAAAGGGUGCGCAGGCGGUCUGUUAAGUCAGCGGUCAAAGCCCGGGGCUCAACCCCGGCCCGCCGUUGAAACUGGCAGUCUCGAGUUGGAGAGAAGUAUGCGGAAUGCGCGGUGUAGCGGUGAAAUGCAUAGAUAUCGCGCAGAACUCCGAUUGCGAAGGCAGCAUGCCGGCUCCACACUGACGCUGAGGCACGAAAGCGUGGGUAUCGAACAGGAUUAGAUACCCCUGGUAGUCCACGCAGUAAACGAUGAAUGCUGGCUGUCCGGGGGGGAUUGACCCCUGGGUGGCGAAGCGAAAGCGAUAAGCAUUCCACCUGGGGAGUACGCCGGCAACGGUGAAACUCAAAGGAAUUGACGGGGGCCCGCACAAGCGGAGGAACAUGUGGUUUAAUUCGAUGAUACGCGAGGAACCUUACCCGGGCUCAAACGGGGAGUGACUCAGGCAGAGACGCCUGUUUCCCACGGGACACUCCCCGAGGUGCUGCAUGGUUGUCGUCAGCUCGUGCCGUGAGGUGUCGGCUUAAGUGCCAUAACGAGCGCAACCCCCGCGUGCAGUUGCUAACAGAUAACGCUGAGGACUCUGCACGGACUGCCGGCGCAAGCCGCGAGGAAGGCGGGGAUGACGUCAAAUCAGCACGGCCCUUACGUCCGGGGCGACACACGUGUUACAAUGGGUGGUACAGCGGGAAGCCAGGCGGCGACGCCGAGCGGAACCCGAAAUCCACUCUCAGUUCGGAUCGGAGUCUGCAACCCGACUCCGUGAAGCUGGAUUCGCUAGUAAUCGCGCAUCAGCCAUGGCGCGGUGAAUACGUUCCCGGGCCUUGUACACACCGCCCGUCAAGCCAUGGGAGCCGAGGGCGCUUGAAGUGCGUCGCCGCGAGGCGCGCCCUAGAGCGAAAUCGGUGACUGGGGCUAAGUCGUAACAAGGUAACC